GGGUCAGGGGCGGCGCGCGGCACUUUCGAGCGCGGGGCGGGCGGGAGGCGGCGGCGGCCGGGGCGGCGGCGGCGGCGGCGGCGGCGCCAUGGACGAGGCCGUGGGCGACCUGAAGCAGGCGCUGCCGUGCGUGGCCGAGGCGCCGACCGUGCACGUGGAGGUGCACCAGCGCGGCGGCAGCACCGCGAAGGAGGAGGACAUAAAGCAGAGCGUCCGGAAGCUGCUCAACAGGCAUAACAUCGUGUUCGGGGACUACACGUGGACCGAGUUCGACGAGCCGUUCCUGACCAGGCACGUGCAGUCCGUGGCCAUCGUUGACACGGAGUUGAAGGCCAAAGACCCACAGCCCAUCGAUCUGGGCGCCUGCACGGUCGUGCUGCACGUCUUCCAGCUGAACGAGGGCGGCCCCAGCAGUGAGACUCUGGAGGAGGAGUCGGAGAACAUCACUGCCGCAAGCCACUGGGUCCUGCCUGCAGCUGAAUUCCACGGGCUUUGGGACAGCUUGGUAUAUGAUGUGGAAGUCAAAUCUCAUCUCCUGGAUUACGUGACGACGACUCUGCUGUUCUCGGACAAGAAUGUCGACAGCAACCUCAUCGCCUGGAACCGGGUGGUGCUGCUGCACGGCCCUCCGGGAACUGGGAAGACCUCCCUGUGUAAAGCCUUAGCCCAGAAGCUGACCAUUAGGCUCUCAAGCAGGUACCGGUACGGCCAGCUGAUUGAAAUAAACAGCCACAGUCUCUUUUCCAAGUGGUUCUCGGAAAGCGGUAAGCUGGUAACCAAGAUGUUCCAGAAGAUUCAGGACUUGAUCGACGACAAGGACGCUCUGGUGUUUGUGCUGAUUGACGAGGUGGAGAGCCUCACGGCUGCCCGCAACGCCUGCAGGGCCGGCACCGAGCCUUCGGACGCCAUACGCGUGGUCAAUGCCGUCCUGACCCAGAUCGACCGGAUCAAGAGGUGACACUGACCGGGGCACAGGGGGGCCACGCGAGGGUGGGAGGCGCCCACACACGAGACCUUCCUUCCGGCUCCUCCGACUGGAAGCUCGGCUGCCACCAAGUCUGCUCUGCCUCGCCCGCCCGAGGCCGCGUGUGUGCCCGCUGCAGCCCGUAGCUGUGCAGGACUUGGAACUACUGAAGUCGUAGCGCAGACCUGCUCGUGCCGGAAACUCACGGCCACGGAAAAGCGCGGGAUGGAGUGAAACGUGACGCACGCAAGCUCGUUGGCACUGAAGGGCUACGACGGGCAGGUGGACGUUACCUGCACGCCCUUCGUGGCGCCGGACUCCCUGUGGCACAGCCCAGCCUUGCAGGUCCGGAGCCUGUGGUCGGUGUAGCCUAGGCUGGUCCCGCUUUGAGGAGUGACUCCUAGUAAGCAGACUCACAAGGAAGCAGUGUCCAUGCCAGAGCCCCUCUGCGUUCUCUGCAGCGUUCCGCCGGCCGCUCCGCUGCCCACAGCUCUCACAGUCCUAGGGUGCUGUCCUACACCGAGGGUGCCGGACCCCAGCGCAGCGCUCGGAAACGAGCUCGCUACAUACGGACUCGCAGGGAACUGACUUCGCUAAGGGCCGUUCGCCCAGGCCUUCGGCGUAUCUUCACCACCGAGAGGCUCUGACUUCUCUGGACGCGGCUCUCAGGGUUGGCUGUGGGGGCCGCUCGCUCCCACCCUGCGGCCGGCGCUGCCCAUGCUCUUCCUGGUCUCUGCUCCUGCGCCUUCAGUGGCGGGCUGUGCUCUCCGGAGUUUUCUACAGCAUCUGACCCCUGACCGUCCCUCCGCUGCCUCCACUCCCAGACCACCUCCGUUUCUGCCGCCGGCCUCUCCUCUCAUCUCUUUGGGCAGCCCGGGCAGCCGGUGCCUGGCCUUGCUCACCCAUCCGAGGCCUGCGGGGCCACUGGACUAGGUGUCCAGCACACCCCAGAGCAGUCGCUCAGCUCCGAAGCCCCCAUUUCCAGGGUUCCUGCUGCAGGGACGGCUUCGUCAUACAACCGCUGUUGGAGCCCAACCCCUUCCUGUUGCCGGCAGCUGUGGGCUCAGGAGGGGAGACAUGUGGGCCUUUGGUUUCCCUCAUACUUUCCUGUCCCCUUCACGCUCCCUGUCCAGGCUCCUCGAGAUGGCCUUUCCAGGCCUGCCUUUGUGUGGCUCUGACACCCUGGGCUCCUAAGACCCCUGCACUCCUCACCCCUCCCUCGCUCACUCCUGCUCACCCUGUGCUGUGCACCUGUUGCCAGACACCAGGCACUGCAAUGUGGUGAUUCUGACCACUUCCAACAUCACGGAGAGGAUCGACGUGGCCUUCGUGGACAGGGCUGACAUCAGGC